rnacentral:rRNA from 1 species
GAUGAACGCUAGCGGCAGGCCUAAUACAUGCAAGUCGAACGGUAAAUAUGCAGCAAUGUAUAGGAGAGUGACGUACGGGUGCGUAACACGUAUGCAACCUACCCUUUACAGGCGGAUAGCUCGGGGAAACUCGGAUUAACCCGUCAUAAGAUCAUAGGAUGGCAUCAUCGAGUGAUUAAAAUUACGGUGGUAAAGGAUGGGCAUGCGUCUGAUUAGUUAGUUGGNGCGGGUAACGGCCCACCAAGACGAUGAUCAGUA